UAUAUAUGAAAAUAUCUAUAUUUCCUAUUGAAAAUGCAGCCUUCGGUUGACAUUUCACCAGCUUUUGAGGCCUCUACAUUCAGUAAAAUUUGAUGUGGGGUGAAAUGUUCCUGAUGCCACCUGAUGCCACCAGCUGCCCAAAGCAUGAUGCAUCCACUCCCCUGCUGAACAACUGGAGAGGAUCAUUAUCCAGUUAAAAACUCCACUUCAGCUUCAACUUUAAGACCGCUGACCUCAAAAUAUCUUCAAGGAUUCUCUGAUAUGAUGCAGAAUUCAAGGUUGGUUCAAGGACUGCAAGCUGCUCAAUCCCUGAUGCAUCGAAGC
ensembl:lncRNA